rnacentral:rRNA from 1 species
UGAGUACGAGAUGCUACGGCAUUGAAGCAGUCUAUGUCAUACUUCCAAGAAAAGCUUGCACUGUCAUAAACAAAGAAUGCCUGUACCAUAACCGACACAGGUGGGUAGGUAGAGUAUACUAAGGGGCGCGAGAUAACUCUCUCUAAGGAACUCGGCGAAAUGACUCCGUAACUUCGGGAGAAGGAGUGCCUUAUUUUUAAGGUUGCAAUAACAAGAUCCAAGCAACUGUUUAUCAAAAACACAGGUCUCCGCUAAGUCGUAAGACGAUGUAUGGCGGCUGACGCCUGCCCAGUGCCAGAAGGUUAAAGAAGUUGGUUAGCAUUCGCGAAGCUGAUAACUGAAGCCCUGGUGAACGGCGGCCGUAACGAUAACGGUCCUAAGGUAGCGAAAUUCCUUGUCGGGUAAGUUCCGACCCGCACGAAAGGCGUAAUGAUUUGGAUACUGUCUCGGAGAGGGACUCGGUGAAAUAGACUUGUCUGUGAAGAUGCGGACUACCUGCACCUGGACAGAAAGACCCUAUGAAGCUUUACUGUAACUUGAAAUUGAAAUUGGACUUUAGUUGCGCAGGAUAGGUGGGAGGCGUUGAGAAUAUUCUUGCGGGAGUAUUGGAGCCAUCAGUGAGAUACCACUCUUCUAAUGUUAGAUUUCUAACUUUGUAUCAUUAUCUGGUCAAAGAACAGUUUCAGGCGGGCAGUUUGACUGGGGCGGUCGCCUCCUAAAGGGUAACGGAGGCGCACAAAGGUUUCCUCUGAACGAGUAGAAAUCGUAUCUAGAGUGUAAAGGCAUAAGGAAGCUUGGCUGUGAGACCUACAAGUCGAGCAGGGACGAAAGUCGGUCUUAGUGAUCUGACGGUGCUGAGUGGAAAGGCCGUCACUCAACGGAUAAAAGUUACUCUAGGAUAACAGGCUGAUCUCCCCCAAGAGUUCACAUCGACGGGGAGGUUUGGCACCUCGAUGUCGGCUCAUCGCAUCCUGGGGCGGUAGUACGUCCCAAGGGUUGGGCUGUUAGCCCAUGAAAGCGGUACGCGAGCUGGGUUCAGAACGUCGUGAGACAGUUCGGUCCAUAUCCGGUGUAGGCGUUAGAAUAUUGAGAGGAGCCUUCUCUAGUACGAGAGGACCGAGAAGGACAUACCUCUAGUGUACCAGUUAUCGUGCCAACGGUAAACGCUGGGUAGCUAUGUAUGGAGUGGAUAACCGCUGAAAGCAUCUAAGUGGGAAGCCCACCUCAAGAUAAGUAUUCGC